rnacentral:tRNA from 1 species
CAUUAAAAAGCUUAAAGUAAGUGUUGAUCUUUUAAAUCAAUAAUGAUAAACCGCCUAUCUUUAAUGG